GACGAACGCUGGCGGCGUGCCUAAUACAUGCAAGUAGAACGCUGAAGGAGGAGCUUGCUUCUCUGGAUGAGUUGCGAACGGGUGAGUAACGCGUAGGUAACCUGCCUGGUAGCGGGGGAUAACUAUUGGAAACGAUAGCUAAUACCGCAUAACAGUAGAUAUCGCAUGAUAUCUACUUGAAAGGUGCAAUUGCAUCACUACCAGAUGGACCUGCGUUGUAUUAGCUAGUUGGUGAGGUAACGGCUCACCAAGGCGACGAUACAUAGCCGACCUGAGAGGGUGAUCGGCCACACUGGGACUGAGACACGGCCCAGACUCCUACGGGAGGCAGCAGGAGGGAAUCUUCGGCAAUGGACGGAAGUCUGACCGAGCAACGCCGCGUGAGUGAAGAAGGUUUUCGGAUCGUAAAGCUCUGUUGUAAGAGAAGAACGAGUGUGAGAGUGGAAAGUUCACACUGUGACGGUAUCUUACCAGAAAGGGACGGCUAACUACGUG
rnacentral:rRNA from 1 species